rnacentral:tRNA from 1 species
GGCGGUGUAGCUUAAUGGAUAGAGUAACGGUUUGCGGAACCGAGGACGAGAGUUCGAUUCUCUCCAUCGCCU